rnacentral:rRNA from 1 species
GUGGGGAAUAUUGCACAAUGGGCGAAAGCCUGAUGCAGCAACGCCGCGUGAGGGACGACGGCCUUCGGGUUGUAAACCUCUUUUAGUAGGGAAGAAGCGAAAGUGACGGUACCUGCAGAAAAAGCACCGGCUAACUACGUGCCAGCAGCCGCGGUAAUACGUAGGGUGCAAGCGUUAUCCGGAAUUAUUGGGCGUAAAGAGCUCGUAGGCGGUCUGUCGCGUCUGCUGUGAAAACUGGAGGCUCAACCGUCAGCCUGCAGUGGGUACGGGCAGACUAGAGUGCGGUAGGGGAGAUUGGAAUUCCUGGUGUAGCGGUGGAAUGCGCAGAUAUCAGGAGGAACACCGAUGGCGAAGGCAGAUCUCUGGGCCGUAACUGACGCUGAGGAGCGAAAGCGUGGGGAGCGAACAGGAUUAGAUACCCUUGUAGUCC